GCCGGGAGGCCGGACUCUGACACACGCGAUCACAUAACAAGAUGAAGUAAAAUGCUGGAGCCUGUUCAGCCGCCCUGCUUCAGUUAGAAGCGUGAUUAAGAAACAGUCACCCAGCAAAACAGAGGCGCACACGUCAGUGUUGGAGAGACAGCCCGAGGGAGCCGAGAGCCUGGUGUGCCACUGCCCCCUGUUGACACGCUGCUCUUCAGUUCACCGGAUGGGCCACCGGAGUGAAAUUCUAGAUACAACGCCCACCAGGUGGCCUUGAGCAAGACACAACCUUCCCAGGCUCGGUUUCCACGUCUGUAACAAGGGAGUGAUGGCGACAUCGUCCUUGUGCACCUCAAAGCACUGUCGUCAGGUGGAAAUGAGUGGAAGACCGUGUCUAGCUUUGCCUGCCUUCUGCCCUGACAUAAUCCAGAAACAUCUCCCCAUGAACGGGUUUCAUUACUUCCUUCCGACGUCGACUCGCAGACGAGGAGAACGAGGAGCACCGAUGUCCAGCCAGUGACUUCCUCUCCAUUCCUCCAACAGGCCAGUGGCAUAAACUCCAGGACAUCAGGGGUAUUUGUCGGUUUGUUCUCUGUUAAAGUUCUGACAUCUGGAAUAGCACCUUGUAAAUAACAGGGGCUUACUCACCAUUUGUUAAAUGAACAAGCAGUAGAAUUUUACUACAAACUCAGCUGGCUCUUCUGAGGGAAGAGCUUUCUAGGCCAAACCACAGGAAUGAAAUUAUGAUGCGACUGAGUGAAAAUACCAGUUGUUAAUGCACUGUAACAAAUCGCCCCCCUGUUGUAUCCCUGGCACAGUGCUACCCACGUAGUAUUAGGCCUUUGUCUACACAUCAGUAAGAAACCGUGGAUUCUGAGCAAUACAGACACGAACAGAACUGGCCACAACACACGUCCAGGUCCCGGCCCAGGCAUGCACAUCGGGGGUGGGGCGUCUCUAAGAAGGAGAGGGACAGGGAAGGAGGGCGUGCCGGGCAGGGGUCAGAGUCCAAGGAGCAGCAGAGCAUUCUGUGUGGGCACGGCUGCGGGGUCAUAUUGAUCCGCAGCGCGAACCUUGUACAGUCAAUUCUAACGCCCAGGAAAAGCGGGCAGGGCUGGCCUCCUGAGAGUUGGGUCCGUGCGGUCUGACGGGACGAACUCCCUCGCCAGAUGGAUGGUGAACCUCUGAGGCCCAGCAGCCUCUAAGAAAUGUGUGCCCUGCAGCCACAGCCUCCUCCAGUUCCUGAAUCAGGGGGCCAGGCACGAUGGAAAACCAGUGUCACACAAGGACGAACGUUGGCCGUCAAACUCCUGAAGCUCUGGCAUCAGCUCUAUUUCUUGAACCUGUUGAAAUUGGUGUCCCUAAGUGUAAUUUACAAACUGCAUACAAAUUCACAUGAGCAUAAAUUUCAUCCUCUCUCCAACCAGACCACUACCACCUGUGGGAGACUGUUACAUCCUAAAUGUAACAAAAUAGCCCUGACUGGUGUGGCUCAGUGGAUUGAGCGCCCCGCCUGUGAAACAAAGAAUCAUAGGUUCAAUUCCCAAUCAGGGCGCAUGCCUGGGUUGUGGGCCAGGUCCCCAGUAGGGGGAGUGAGAGGCAACCACACAAUGAUGAUUCUAUCCCUCUCUAAAAAUAAAAAAUAA